UAGGGAAUCUUCCACAAUGGACGCAAGUCUGAUGGAGCAACGCCGCGUGAGUGAAGAAGGCUUUCGGGUCGUAAAACUCUGUUAUUGAAGAAGAACGUGUGUGACAGUAACUGGUCAUGCAGUGACGGUAUUCAAUCAGAAAGGUCACGGCUAACUACGUGCCAGCAGCCGCGGUAAUACGUAGGUGGCAAGCGUUGUCCGGAUUUAUUGGGCGUAAAGCGAGUGCAGGCGGUCUUUUAAGUCUGAUGUGAAAGCCUUCGGCUUAACCGAAGAAGGGCAUCGGAAACUGGGAGACUUGAGUGCAGAAGAGGAGAGUGGA
rnacentral:rRNA from 1 species